rnacentral:lncRNA from 1 species
GCAGACGACAGCAACGAAAACGAACUGCCUCGUUGUGCGGGAUCAACAUCGGAACAUCACAGCAGCAUCCCGCCAGAAAAAUUAGCAGUAGAAAAAACUGUCCACAAAAAAAAGCGGAAGCGUUGUCAUGCAGGGUCCCGGUUAUCAUGCGCCAGUAAUGUGUAACCGCAACAGCGCUCAGAGCGGAAACAGUUAUUCGAUAGGCCAGUAUCCUCUGCACAGUAGUAAUGGAUACCACUCGACGCAUCAGGACCGACUCAAGAACCGCGGUCACUUUAGUGAGCGAGCAGACCUGUAUAACAACAGCAGCAUAAACAGUUGCACUCCACUUGCAAUCGACCAAAUGCCAUUUACAAAAAAAGACUAAGCAAUAAUGGCUUUUCUUGAUUAUUGAUCAUACCGUGCUGGUUAUCGUAUGUAUUUGAGCGUUUGUUCUACGUGCGUCUAUCAUUUAGGCAAUGGUGUGGGCAUUAGCGUUGUGACGUUAGGUUCGUUGUGUAAACUUGUUUUCCUUAGUUUGCAUUCCUCCCAAUCUUUUACUACCAACCAGAACGAGUUUUCAUUGAAAAUAUUUAUUUGCUACACAAGAGCUCGCUCUAUGCUUUACCCAACUGAAGGUUAAGUUCUGGUCAACGGGAAACAAGUCUUCGGCACGAAGCAAUGAAUCAAUAUAUGAACGAUGCUUCACGUCGCUUUUUAAAUUUAUUUAAACAAGAAGAAGUUCAGUCUUUGUAGUGGUAUAAAAGAACGAACUACUAAUUUAGAAAUGCGUCUGCAGAGAAAGGACACUAUACAAAUUGCAAAAAAUCAGCAUAUUUAUUCGAGACACUCAAAAAUCAGAGGAACAAUUUCUGGUGCAACAGUUUCAGAGCACUUAUCACUUUACGGUGCAAUAAUACGGACAGGCAGAGAAUACGGCGAGUGCAAAUGACAAUGAGAAGAUUGCCGAUCCACGAAUCUUUGAGGGGUGCAAUUGUUGGAAAGCUCUAAUGGAACCUAUGAAGCUCGUCUUAUGGCUCAGACAACCGUGCAAUAUGAUAAUUGAAGUUGAAGUUAGAUUCUUAUCAUUUAUUAUAGAUAUGCGGUUAUAAUUAGAACAUAGCCAGCUUUAGAAUUUUUCGCAGAAGUGGAUUGAGUUAAAUAAAGAAUAUCCUCAAGUACGGGUCAAGCACAGCAGACUUGUAGAUGGAUGGCACAAAUAUAUAACUGUGCAUAUAUUUCGUACACUAAGAAUUUGUUUUUACUUAUCUGAGGUAAUCAAAAAGUCUGCUGCUAUCAGGCGCCUGAACGCCUCGCAGAGAUAAUGGCGCGGAACGGACCGCAACCAGCUGGAUCCUCUACCAAUCAAUAAAAGCAUAAAUAGAGCCGACGCUGUUAUUCAGUUAUCUUUCGAACUAAAUAGACGUAGAUCACUUUCGACGUGCAACGCGUUCGUGCGACUGGGGAAAGGACAAUGUGUUGACUGCGUCGAUUUAAAACUUAAGUCGAUUUAAAACGUUUUCGUAUAUCAUCCGCUACACUUCAAUUUGUUAAGCCACCGAAAAUAAAUCGCUAGAACAAAAAAAAAUCAAUAUCGCAGCGCACCUGAGCGAUUAAUCAGCUUCGUUAAUCCAGAGUAGCAAGAAUGACAAAGGUUCUCCAUGAACGUUUGCAGUAGAUAAUACGCGAAUGACUACAACCCAUUAUGCAAUUAGACUGUUCACGCUGAGCGUUCUAAAGUGGAGACAGACAAUAAUCCAAAUAUCGUAUCUCGCCCGACAUUGCCAAUCGGUUUCCAUAGAUCUGAUUUGGUCUUAUGAAAAUUGCACCGACAGUGCUAUAAUAACCCUUUUUUUUUAUAAGAGGCAGUAUGGAUCUACCGGGUUGCACUCAUUAAGUGAAUCCAACCUCUUGGGUGACUAGUAGGACGACAGCUAACCAGGUAGCCUCUGGAAACGCUGCAGUAUUGGAAAGCAAACUACCAGCUAAUUUGGAAGCAGGUCUUCGACAAGCCUUCAUAAGAUAUAGGUCCUCAGCAAGAGUACGACGCCGCGCCUAAAAAGAAAUACCAUAAGUGUUCACAAAACAGAUCGAGUUUUUGUUGUUCUAAAAGAGCAAGGUAUCUACGCGUAAGAAUUUCAUCAAAACAACAGAUUUAACGUGGCUCCAAAAGAUCAAUGAUUCGGUCACUAAGAAGGUCAAAAUCCAAAUAAUCAAAGCGAUUAGGGUCAGUAUCUUUAAAAAAAAAUCAAACUAAUCGACAAUGUGAAGUCUAUUCUUCUAAAGGCGGUCGAGGUCACGAUCUUCAGCAGCCUCUGUACUUUAAAAGGUCGAAGUCAAAAUUAUCAGGGAAAUCGAAUUCUCGACCGAAAUUUGCUCGACCAUAUAUCUAUAUGCGAAACUCAGGGAAAUGCAAUAAAAUCAAAAUAUUCGGGUCA